UACGGAGGGGGCAAGCGUUGUCCGGACUUAUUGGGCGUAAAGAGCUCGUAGGCGGCUCGUCGCGUCGACCGUGAAAACCCGCGGCUUAACUGCGGGCUUGCGGUUGAUACGGGCGGGCUAGAGUUCGGUAGGGGAGACUGGAAUUCCUGGUGUAGCGGUGAAAUGCGCAGAUAUCGGGAGGAACACCAGUGGCGAAGGCGGCACUCUGGGCCAGUACUGACGCUGAGGAGCGAAAGCGUGGGGAGCGAACAGG
rnacentral:rRNA from 1 species